GGUUAAAGUAACCAAAAUCGUUCUCAUUAUUUCCCAACGAACCUACGUAACGAUUACGAACAUCAUUGCAUGCUGUCUUCGUUUCUUUAUCCUUCCUCAUCGUCGCCAUCGAACGAUCAAAGACUGAGGUUGUUCAGUCUGAGCUUCAAGAACUCUUUGAUCAACACAUAGCCAAAUGUAGUUGAUCCUUUGAACAACAAGCAAUGGUAGCUAUAAAAGGUUUCCACUUCUAGCGUUUGACUAAUAUUCUACACGCUAUUUAUAGUUGCAAUCUGGUUGAAACUAAACAUGGCACAGAUACCUUCUGCAAAUUUUUUUGGCAGGAUCAGCGUAAUGAUCGUUUUCUCUCCGGAAACGAUACGAUCGAUCUGCUGCGGAAUUCUAGGCGAUAAUGAUCUCACCUUCGGGGCCACUGUGAACGCUGGCUGUGUAUACUAUCUGAUUAGCCAUCUGCAACUUACCGUUUCGU